rnacentral:rRNA from 1 species
AGUGGCGGACGGGUGAGUAACGCGUGGGUAACCUGCCUCAUACAGGGGGAUAACAGUUAGAAAUGACUGCUAAUACCGCAUAAGACCACAGCACCGCAUGGUGCAGGGGUAAAAACUCCGGUGGUAUGAGAUGGACCCGCGUCUGAUUAGGUAGUUGGUGGGGUAACGGCCUACCAAGCCGACGAUCAGUAGCCGACCCGAGAGGGUGACCGGCCACAUUGGGACUGAGACACGGCCCAA